AAUGAACGUUAGCGGCGCGCUUAACACAUGCAAGUCGAGCGAGAAAGGGCUUCGGUCCCGGUAAAGCGGCGCACGGGUGAGGAACACGUAGGUAAUUUGCCCCCAGGUGGUGGAUAACCUUCCGAAAGGAGGGCUAAUACAGCAUAAGACCACGUCUCCGAAAGGAGAUGAGGUCAAAGUCGGCCUCUUCAUGAAAGCUGACGCCAGGGGGAUGAGCCUGCGGCCCAUCAGGUAGUUGGAGGGUAAUGGCCUACCAAGCCUAAGACGGGUAGCUGGUCUGAGAGGAUGAUCAGCCACACUGGAACUGAGACACGGUCCAGACUCCUACGGGAGGCAGCAGUGGGGAAUCUUGCGCAAUGGGCGAAAGCCUGACGCAGCGACGCCGCGUGAGUGAUGAAGG
rnacentral:rRNA from 1 species